AUUGAACGCUGGCGGCAUGCCUAACACAUGCAAGUCGAACGGCAGCACAGUAGAGCUUGCUCUAUGGGUGGCGAGUGGCGGACGGGUGAGUAAUGCAUCGGGAUCUACCCAAACGUGGGGGAUAACGUAGGGAAACUUACGCUAAUACCGCAUACGUCUUACGAGAGAAAGCAGGGGACCUUCGGGCCUUGCGCGGUUGGACGAACCGAUGUGCGAUUAGCUAGUUGGUAGGGUAAUGGCCUACCAAGGCGACGAUCGCUAGCUGGUCUGAGAGGAUGAUCAGCCACACUGGAACUGAGACACGGUCCAGACUCCUACGGGAGGCAGCAGUGGGGAAUAUUGGACAAUGGGCGCAAGCCUGAUCCAGCAAUGCCGCGUGUGUGAAGAAGGCCUUCGGGUUGUAAAGCACUUUUAUCAGGAGCGAAAUACUACCGGCUAAUAUCCGGUGGGGCUGACGGUACCUGAGGAAUAAGCACCGGCUAACUUCGUGCCAGCAGCCGCGGUAAUACGAAGGGUGCAAGCGUUAAUCGGAAUUACUGGGCGUAAAGCGUGCGUAGGCGGUUAUUUAAGUCUGUUGUGAAAUCCCCGGGCUCAACCUGGGAAUGGCAAUGGAUACUGGAUAGCUAGAGUGUGAUAGAGGAUGGUGGAAUUCCCGGUGUAGCGGUGAAAUGCGUAGAGAUCGGGAGGAACAUCAGUGGCGAAGCGGCCAUCUGGAUCAACACUGACGCUGAGGCACGAAAGCGUGGGGAGCAAACAGG
rnacentral:rRNA from 1 species